rnacentral:rRNA from 1 species
UAUUGGACAAUGGGCGAAAGCCUGAUCCAGCAAUGCCGCGUGAGUGAUGAAGGCCUUAGGGUUGUAAAGCUCUUUUACCCGGGAUGAUAAUGACAGUACCGGGAGAAUAAGCUCCGGCUAACUCCGUGCCAGCAGCCGCGGUAAUACGGAGGGAGCUAGCGUUGUUCGGAAUUACUGGGCGUAAAGCGCACGUAGGCGGCUUUGUAAGUUAGAGGUGAAAGCCUGGAGCUCAACUCCAGAACUGCCUUUAAGACUGCAUCGCUUGAAUCCAGGAGAGGUGAGUGGAAUUCCGAGUGUAGAGGUGAAAUUCGUAGAUAUUCGGAAGAACACCAGUGGCGAAGGCGGCUCACUGGACUGGUAUGACGCUGAGGUGCGAA